rnacentral:rRNA from 1 species
AACGAACGCUGGCGGCAUGCCUAACACAUGCAAGUCGAACGAGACCUUCGGGUCUAGUGGCGCACGGGUGCGUAACGCGUGGGAACCUGCCCUUAGGUUCGGAAUAACUCCCCGAAAGGGGUGCUAAUACCGGAUAAUCUCUUCGGACCAAAGAUUUAUCGCCUUUGGAUGGGCCCGCGUUGGAUUAGCUAGUUGGUAGGGUAAAAGCCUACCAAGGCGACGAUCCAUAGCUGGUCUGAGAGGAUGAUCAGCCACACUGGGACUGAGACACGGCCCAGACUCCUACGGGAGGCAGCAGUGGGGAAUAUUGGACAAUGGGCGAAAGCCUGAUCCAGCAAUGCCGCGUGAGUGAUGAAGGCCUUAGGGUUGUAAAGCUCUUUUACCCGGGAUGAUAAUGACAGUACCGGGAGAAUAAGCUCCGGCUAACUCCGUG